UAGGGAAUCUUCCGCAAUGGACGCAAGUCUGACGGAGCAACGCCGCGUGAGUGAAGAAGGAUUUCGGUUCGUAAAACUCUGUUGUUAGAGAAGAACAGCGCAUAGAGUAACUGUUAUGCGUGUGACGGUAUCUAACCAGAAAGCCACGGCUAACUACGUGCCAGCAGCCGCGGUAAUACGUAGGUGGCAAGCGUUGUCCGGAUUUAUUGGGCGUAAAGCGAGCGCAGGCGGUCAAUUAAGUCUGAUGUGAAAGCCCCCGGCUCAACCGGGGAGGGUCAUUGGAAACUGGUUGACUUGAGUGCAGAAGAGGAGAGUGGAAUUCCGUGUGUAGCGGUGAAAUGCGUAGAUAUAUGGAGGAACACCGGUGGCGAAAGCGGCUCUCUGGUCUGUAACUGACGCUGAGGCUCGAAAGCGUGGGGAGCGAACAGG
rnacentral:rRNA from 1 species